AAAACCGCGAUAUUUGUUAACUUCUGUGUACUAGAUUCACAGGUGUUGCAAUACCAGUUAUUGGAGCUCAAGUUUUCAAGGGUCGACCACAAGUUUUGUGAUUAAAAAUAAACCCGAAAAAACCUAACAUGGACAAAACAGAAAUGCAGCCGGAAUCCCACGCAGCCUGUUCUGGUGAGAACGGCAACGUGGUUAACGGAGCCCAGCCUAAUGAAGCAGGGAUGAACUCCAGCAGCGAUCAUCUGGUAUCAAGGAAUACUAACGCCUCGGUCCAUAUACACCCUCGGACUGACUGGCCGGUCCUUAUAUUGUCAAAUGACCAUCAGCGAUAACUAGAUUGAACAAGGCGGGUGCUUUUUCAACCAACACCAAACCAGUUUUGUUUUGUAGUACAUUGGUUGGUGUAUGCGGUAGGUCAUACAUUUAAUUGCAAAGAACGCCUCUUCAUCCGAAAACGAUGCCGAUGUACUAGUCAAGGCCCUAGUUACGAUAUUUGACCGUGAAUACUCGGAGGCUGAAAUCAGGCUAAGCAUCAACAUAUAUGAGAAGAGGCGUAAGAUGAGGUACAGCAGGGGUCAUUCGGAAGAGAUCGUGGAAAUUAUGGAUGAGAUGAGAGAAGGCCAGUCCCAACCAUCCGGUGUUUAAACCAUCCAGUAGAUAUGCAGAGGGUGCGAGCAAAACAGCAACAUUAAUAAAUACUAAGUUAAUUCAAUUUAAAAAUAAAUGCGAGAUAUUUGCAUUGGAUACCAUCUGAAAGUAUGGUGAUUUAUAAUGCGUAACAAGUGACUCAAAAGUAAUUAUAGCUGUAUUGUAAUUUGUAACAGUAACAUACCUCUAAGAUGUAUAUCAUUUAACUGUGAAUGUUCUACCUGCCCAAAUAUCAACUAAAUAAUUUAAUGAUGCGUUUAUCUUUAAAUUGUGUUCAUUAAUAAGAUCAAAUGCUUGCAUUAGAAAAACAUGAAAGAAAAGACCAGAACCACUUACUUCAGGAAUAUGCACAUUAUUAUACCCGAAUUAACAUUACGAAAUACAUUGGGUAUUUAUCUAAAGAAAAGCUAUUUAUCUGUCCAUAGAAAGCUGUUUAUUCCCAUAAAAAUAUUAAAUUUG